rnacentral:tRNA from 1 species
CCGGGGUGAGUGAAACGGCUUACACGUCUGUCUCAUAAGCAGAAAACAGUGGGUUCAACUCCCACACCCCGAA